GGGGGCCCAAGUAUUUGUUUUGACCACUUCUCUCUCUUGUAUGUGGUAGGGGCAGGGGCAUUAUUUGCAUACAAUUCUGUAGUUUCUAUAUAAAAAUGGAAUAUUUUGGGGAUAUUAUGAUGCUACUCAAUUCAAUGUAUAAAGAGAGCGUUGAGUUGUAAAUUUUGUAGCAUGAUGUUAAUUUAUUUCCAAGCUGCAUGAAACCUUAGCGCUAAGACGG
rnacentral:misc_RNA from 1 species